GAUGAACGCUGGCGGCGUGCCUAAUACAUGCAAGUCGAGCGAACGGACGAGAAGCUUGCUUCUCUGAUGUUAGCGGCGGACGGGUGAGUAACACGUGGAUAACCUACCUAUAAGACUGGGAUAACUUCGGGAAACCGGAGCUAAUACCGGAUAAUAUUUCGAACCGCAUGGUUCAAAAGUGAAAGACGGUCUUGCUGUCACUUAUAGAUGGAUCCGCGCUGCAUUAGCUAGUUGGUAAGGUAACGGCUUACCAAGGCAACGAUGCAUAGCCGACCUGAGAGGGUGAUCGGCCACACUGGAACUGAGACACGGUCCAGACUCCUACGGGAGGCAGCAGUAGGGAAUCUUCCGCAAUGGGCGAAAGCCUGACGGAGCAACGCCGCGUGAGUGAUGAAGGUCUUCGGAUCGUAAAACCCUGUUAUUAGGGAAGAACAUAUGUGUAAGUAACUGUGCACAUCUUGACGGUACCUAAUCAGAAAGCCACGGCUAACUACGUGCCAGCAGCCGCGGUAAUACGUAGGUGGCAAGCGUUAUCCGGAAUUAUUGGGCGUAAAGCGCGCGUAGGCGGUUUUUUAAGUCUGAUGUGAAAGCCCACGGCUCAACCGUGGAGGGUCAUUGGAAACUGGAAAACUUGAGUGCAGAAGAGGAAAGUGGAAUUCCAUGUGUAGCGGUGAAAUGCGCAGAGAUAUGGAGGAACACCAGUGGCGAAGGCGACUUUCUGGUCUGUAACUGACGCUGAUGUGCGAAAGCGUGGGGAUCAAACAGGAUUAGAUACCCUGGUAGUCCACGCCGUAAACGAUGAGUGCUAAGUGUUAGGGGGUUUCCGCCCCUUAGUGCUGCAGCUAACGCAUUAAGCACUCCGCCUGGGGAGUACGACCGCAAGGUUGAAACUCAAAGGAAUUGACGGGGGCCCGCACAAGCGGUGGAGCAUGUGGUUUAAUUCGAAGCAACGCGAAGAACCUUACCAGGUCUUGACAUCCCUCUGACCGCUCUAGAGAUAGAGCUUUCCUUCGGGACAGAGGUGACAGGUGGUGCAUGGUUGUCGUCAGCUCGUGUCGUGAGAUGUUGGGUUAAGUCCCGCAACGAGCGCAACCCCUAUUGUUAGUUGCCAUCAUUCAGUUGGGCACUCUAGCGAGACUGCCGGUAAUAAACCGGAGGAAGGUGGGGAUGACGUCAAAUCAUCAUGCCCCUUAUGACCUGGGCUACACGCGUGCUACAAUGGCUGGUACAACGAGUCGCAAGCCGGUGACGGCAAGCUAAUCUCUUAAAGCCAGUCUCAGUUCGGAUUGUAGGCUGCAACUCGCCUACAUGAAGUCGGAAUCGCUAGUAAUCGCGGAUCAGCACGCCGCGGUGAAUACGUUCCCGGGCCU
rnacentral:rRNA from 1 species